UACGUAGGUGGCAAGCGUUAUCCGGAUUUAUUGGGCGUAAAGGGAACGCAGGCGGUCUUUUAAGUCUGAUGUGAAAGCCUUCGGCUUAACCGGAGUAGUGCAUUGGAAACUGGGAGACUUGAGUGCAGAAGAGGAGAGUGGAACUCCAUGUGUAGCGGUGAAAUGCGUAGAUAUAUGGAAGAACACCAGUGGCGAAAGCGGCUCUCUGGUCUGUAACUGACGCUGAGGUUCGAAAGAGUGGGUAGCAAACAGG
rnacentral:rRNA from 1 species